rnacentral:lncRNA from 1 species
CGGAGAACGAGGGUGAGAUGGGCUUCAAGAGGGCGAGCGUCAUCACCCUAACCAAUCAGAUCGACGAUGACUGGUACGAGGGCAUGAUCAACGGCAAAUCAGGUUUCUUCCCCAUCAACUACGUAGAUAUCCUGGUUCCACUUCCUCAUUAGGCCGUUACCCCCCCGCCCAAUCCGCGCCCUUCCCCCCCCACCUCUGCCUAGCCUAAGCCACGCCUUCUUCUCUUGGCUUAUGUGAGUUCAGCCGCUUUUCACAACUUUGAGGAACAAACGUUUGUACAGGAUUCUGCUGAUAGACGAAGAAGAGGAGGAGAAUAAUAAAAGAGAGAUGAAGAAUCGUCUGCUUCAUCCCCCUUCAGUGGGAUCAGUGUGCUUGCGGUGUUGAAUGGAAGGGAUGAUUGUAAAGAUGGAGUCCUGUGUUUACCAGAGGAGGCUGGUGAGGGGAGGACGGCUCAUAAUAAAGACUGGAACCGAGAGAAUGGAAUGCCAUCGAACACAUAUAUCCUCCAGGAGGUUUUAACUCCAGCCCUGUUCCUGGAGAGAUACCCUCCAGGAGGUUUUAACCCCAACCCUGUUCCUGGAGAGAUAUCCUCCUGUAGGUUUUAACUCCAACCCUGUUCCUGGAGAGAUAUCCUCCUGUAGGUUUUAACUCCAACCCUGUUCCUGGAGAGAUACCCUCCAGGAGGAUUUAACUCCAACCCUGUUCCUGGAGAGAUACCCUCCUGGAGGAUUUAACUCCAACCCUGUUCCUGGAGAAACAGAGUAGAGAGCUGGUUGAACUAACUAAACUGGUAGAAACAGUAGAGAGCUGGUUGUAUAGACUGUAAACGGGUCCAAUGUAUUGCAUGCUGGGACAAGCCAUUUAAUAACUGGUGAGGAUGAUGAGGAUGACGAUGUUGUUACAGAUGUACGUAAGCUUCUGUUGUGAUCUUUCUUAUAUUAUGUAUGUUAUACCUGUCAGAUGUCAAUAAACACUUUUCUC